CCAGACUCCUACGGGAGGCAGCAGUGGGGAAUAUUGGGCAAUGGGCGCAAGCCUGACCCAGCAACGCCGCGUGAAGGAAGAAGGCUUUCGGGUUGUAAACUUCUUUUAAGAGGGAAGAGUAGAAGACGGUACCUCUUGAAUAAGCCACGGCUAACUACGUGCCAGCAGCCGCGGUAAUACGUAGGUGGCAAGCGUUGUCCGGAUUUACUGGGUGUAAAGGGCGUGUAGCCGGGCCGGCAAGUCAGAUGUGAAAACCACGGGCUCAACUUGUGGCCUGCAUUUGAAACUGUGUUUCUUGAGUACUGGAGAGGCAGACGGAAUUCCUAGUGUAGCGGUGAAAUGCGUAGAUAUUAGGAGGAACACCAGUGGCGAAGGCGGCCUGCUGGACAGCAACUGACGCUGAGGCGCGAAAGCGUGGGGAGCAAACAGGAUUAGAUACCCGGGUAUCA
rnacentral:rRNA from 1 species